AACGAAUUUAUUGUUUUUGCUUCUUUUAUGUAUGUAUGUAUGUAUGUUUUUUAUUUUUUAUUUUUUAUUUUUUACCUUUAGAACCAUUGUGUUUACCCAGCUUUGAUAUUAUUAGACAUAAAUCAUUUUCCGAUUUGUCAAACCUAGACAACAAUAUUGAAUGGAAAAUUAAUAAAAAAGAGAAAGAAGACUACAAACGAAUUUUUAAAAUAUUAGAUAUUAAUAAUGAAAAGAGAAUAGAAGGGGGAGUAAUACGUGAAUAUUAUUUAAAUUCUUCGAGUUUAUCCAUUUGCGAGUUGAUGCAAAUAUGGUCAAUUUCUGACACUGAUAAUGAUGGUUUUCUUGACUUUGAUCAAUUUUGUAUUAUGAAUAAAGUUGUUGAAAUAAGAAAAUCAAAAGAAAUUAACAUUCCUUUGUCUGUUCCUCCUGACCUUUUGAAUUCUCUAAAUUCUAAGAACGACACAGCAGCAGAUGUUGUUACGCUUUGUAAAAAAAAUGAAGAAGACCAGAACUUACUAAAACCCACAGCUACUGACCUUUCAAAAAAAGAAAAUGAAAAAAAAAAGAAAAAAAAAAAAAAAGGAAACAAAAAGGGGGGCCUAAAUGAGGACACGCAAGAUAGUACACAAAGUACCACGAAAGAAGAAACUUUUGAAACAAUUGAUUAUUUUAAAAGUAAUAAUAAUAAAAAUGAAAAGCUAAACAUGGAAUUUGAUUUCUUUAAUUUUCAUGGUGAUGAUGAGUUAUACAAAGAAAUAAGUUUAAAAAAAAAUAAAAAAAAUAAUUCUUUUUUUAACCAUAAUAAAGAAGGUAACCGUCAUGAAGAUGGUCAUAUACAUAAUAAAGUUUUUAAGAAUAUUCAUAAAAAUUAUAAAAUAAUGGGUGAAGAUUAUGAAGAAGGUGACGAAAAAAGUGGACAAGAAGCAUCUGAAGCAGUAACAGUAGCAAAGUCAGAAGAAAAGAGUAGCGAUUCUGAAUUAAAUAGUAGUGGUAAAACUGAUAUACAUAAUAAUAAUAAUAAUAAUAAUAGUAUUAGUAGUAGUAUUGGUAGUAGUGUUUAUAAUAGUAGUGACAGCAGCAACAGUAGUAAUAUUACUAACCCUAAAGGGAAAAUCAAACAUGACCAAGUGAAGGAAGACAUUCAUGAUAAUAACAAAUAUGCAUAUAAAAUAGAACAACC
rnacentral:lncRNA from 1 species